CACUAUGCCUAGCCCUAAACAUUGACAGUUAACUACACCCACUGUCCGCCUGGGGACUACGAGCGCUAGCUUAAAACCCAAAGGACUUGGCGGUGCUUUAGACCCACCUAGAGGAGCCUGUUCUAGAACCGAUAAUCCCCGUUGAACCUCACCCUCCCUUGUUCUCUCCCGCCUAUAUACCACCGUCGUCAGCUUACCCUGUGAAGGCCCAAUAGUAAGCACAAUCGGCAAUGCCCAAAACGUCAGGUCGAGGUGUAGCGAAUGGAAGGGGAAGAAAUGGGCUACAUUUACUGGUACAGUAAAUACGGAUGAUUACCCUGCAACGAGUAUCUGAAGGAGGAUUUAGCAGUAAGCAAAAAGCAGAGCGUUUUGCUGAAAUUGGCCCUGAAGCGUGCACACACCGCCCGUCACUCUCCCCGAACUAAGACUUAAAACAUAACUAAUAUGCUAUAACUGUAAAGGGGAGGCAAGUCGUAA
rnacentral:rRNA from 1 species